rnacentral:sRNA from 1 species
AAUCGCACUCAUAUGUGUAAAUAACACACACGUGUCGACACAUACGCCGGGGUGCCCUAAAGUUUUUGAUUAUCAUCAAUCGCUUAUGGGGUCGGCGUUAUGGGACACGUGGAGGCAUAACC